CACUCAGUGUUUCACUUUUAGAGUGUCUUAAUAUGAAAGCAGAAGCAGUGAUGUAGGUGCACUUCCUUUUGAGAAGUGUUCGCACAAGACCUACGCAAGACAUACGAGAGCUAAUACUUUGAGGUUUAUGAAGGACGCUGUUUGUCCUCCUUUCUUCAGUGCAUCAUCUUCUGCACUAUCAGCAGCACUUACACUGCAAAUUGGACACAUUGGUGAGAAUGGAUGCAUUAAAAUUUUACUUUACUCUGCUUCUACCACUAACUGCAUGCUCACAAGAUUUGGGAGGAGAUGCUGUUGUGAAAACAAUUGGGAAGCAACCAGAUGUCACUCAAAUAUGCACCAAUGGAGCACAGACUAUCAUCACACUGAUAGUUUGUACGAUCAGAACUCAGAGAAGCAGAGGAGAAAAUUGUAGUCUGCUGUAUGAAUAUGCACGAGGCUUUGAGAACAAAUGUGACUCCAGGUUCACACUGAUGAAAGAAAAUCAGACUGUGUUUCUCCACCUGAUCAAUUUAACAUCACAGGACAGUGGGAGCUACACCUGUCAGUGUACAACUAUUGAUGGAACAAAAAUUCUCCAUCUUAAUGUCACUGUGGAUGGUAAACAAGAACUAAGCAGCAGGUCUGGAACAGAAACAGUUCCUCUUACACUGAUUUGUGUAACUGUGUUCAUCAUUGUGAGUUUAGUUAUCUUUGGAUUUAUUCACGCACGACUGCGCCAGAGUUGCUGUUCAAGGUCAGAAAUAUCUGGACUAUCAGUGAAUGAGAAUCACGGGUCUUUGGAUGAAGAUGUCCAAGAUGAUUCUUACACAAACCUUCAGCAUCCAACAAAUGAUGUCUACCAAACUAUCACCUCAGAUCACCCUCAGCAUCACAUCACUACAAAUUAAGAAUAUUAAGUGUCUGUUGUUGUGAUUAUUCAGCCAGAAGAACAGAAGCUGUCAGAAGCUGACAACGUUUAAACAUUUUGAAACAUGUAAAACUGCACAUGUACACAUGAGUAAUAUUGGUCUGAUAUAAAUAUUUUUGGAUUAUCAUUAUGACAAGACACCUCAUUUACUCUGGACACAUGUUUUAUAAUAACUGAGGUCAUUCAGUCUUAACACUCCAACUCUGUGAAACAGGUUCACAGAUGCGUCCUUUUGCAAAUACAAACUAACUGUGUCAAUAUGAAUCCUUGUGUUUUUGAAAGUUUAUGAAAACUAACAUUUCACCAUCGUCCGCUCUUAAUUCCAGACAUGAGUUUGUUUCUAAACUAAAACUAAACAGUUAAAGACAGAGAAAAACUCUUCCUGGGUUUUUCUUCUGUAUUCAUGUGUUUACUCACUAUUUUAACCUUUAAGGCAUACAAACAUAUGAGAAUUUGAGGUGUAAAUUACUGAGGGGUGCAGGUCUUUUUUUCUAUAAGUAGUUCUACAUGAUACUCACAGACACAGUUACUUCCUGAUCAGUAUGGUCAUACAGAAACUCUGCUGUGCUGCUUCUGAAUCUACUUCUGUUUAAGCUGUGAAGAUAAUAUCUAUAUAUUAAAUUUUGAGUUAGUAAAUUUCAACAAACAUGGCAGUUAAAUGUGUGACACGCCCACUGAGAUGAAAAUGAGUAUGUUUAGUUUUUGUGUGUGAUUCUGCUCAGUGUUUUACUUUUAAAGGGCCUUUAACUUAAAGCAGAAGUGAUCAUCCAUAUACUUCCUUUGCAGAAGCAUCCUACCAGCAUGAAACGCUGUGAGAGAUAUAAGAGUUUUAUGUAACUCCUUGAGUUUGCUUAGUGAUUUACUUUGAGAGAGUUUUAAUAUGAGAGCAGAAGCGGCCACGUGUUUAUAGAAGCAUUCUGACAAAGAUGGACCUCUGUAAAGUUCUUUCUUUGAGGUUUAUUAACAACUCUCAGUACAACAUCGUCUGUACUGUCAGCAGCAGUUACUGUGACUUGGACACCUGGACAAAUAUUGAUGCACUGAAGCUGUACUGUAUUCUGCUUCUACCACUAACUGCAUGCUCACAAGAUUUAGGAGGAGAAACUGUUGUGAAAACAAUUGGGAAGCAACCAGAUGUCACUCAAAUAUGCACCAAUGAAACACAGAACAUCAUCACACUGAUAGUUUGUACGAUCAGAACUCAGAGAAGUGGAGGAGGAAAUUGUGUUCUGCUGUAUGAACAUGCACGGGGCUUUGAGCACAAAUGUGACUCCAGGUUCACACUGAUGAAAGAAAAUCAGACUGUGUUUCUCCACCUGAUCAAUUUAACAUCAGAGGACAGUGGGAGCUACAGCUGUCAGUGUACAAGUCCUGGAAGAACAAAUAUUCUCCAUCUUAAUGUCACUGUGGAAGGUAAACAAGAACUAAGCAGCAGGUCUGGAACAGAAACAGUUCCUCUUACACUGAUUUCUGUAACCGUGUUCAUCAUUGUGAGUUUAGUUAUCUUUGGAUUUAUUCACGCACGACUGCACCAGAGAAAACCAUCUCCUAGACCUCAAAACACGGGGUCAGAGGACAUUGAGCCGUACAGCACCUACAUACGGAGGGAAAGUGGUCUUUAUUCAACUGUUAAAAUGCACGACUCUAAACAGAAUACCAACAGUUCACAUGUGUCAGCAGACACAGUUGAGACAGUCUACGCAGGAGUACAAUAAUAUUAUAUCACAUUUUUCAACACUGACAAUUGUAGUUUGGCAAAUUCACCACAGGGUGGCAUCAUUUGCAAUAUGACUGACAAAUAAAGAACUGACCAGAAUCAGCGGAAAUAGUCAAAUAUUUCAUAUCUAAACACGAUUUCUUUUUAUCAUCUUAGCAUUUUAGUAUUGUGUUUUUAUGUAAAUAUUUUGUUACAAACUGCAGUAAAACUUUAUCCAUCAUUUGUUGUGUUUUUCUUUUUUUUAAUGCAGAAGAGAGAACUUUGUAAAUUCUGAGUUUUCAUAUGACUAAACUCAUAUAGUCAAGAAAAAUUCAACAAUUUCAGAUCCCUUUUGCUUUAUUCACUGUGACCG
ensembl:lncRNA